AGUGAACGCUGGCGGUAGGCCUAACACAUGCAAGUCGAACGGCAGCACAGUAAGAGCUUGCUCUUACGGGUGGCGAGUGGCGGACGGGUGAGGAAUACAUCGGAAUCUACUUUUUCGUGGGGGAUAACGUAGGGAAACUUACGCUAAUACCGCAUACGACCUACGGGUGAAAGCAGGGGAUCUUCGCACCUUGCGCGAUUGAAUGAGCCGAUGUCGGAUUAGCUAGUUGGCGGGGUAAAGGCCCACCAAGGCGACGAUCCGUAGCUGGUCUGAGAGGCUGAUCAGCCACACUGGAAGUGAGACAGGGUCCAGACUCCUGCGGGAGGCAGCAGUGGGGAAUAUUGGGCAAUGGGCGCAAGCCUGAUCCAGCCAUACCGCGUGGGUGAAGAAGGCCUUCGGGUUGGAAAGCCCUUUUGUUGGGAGAGAAAAGCAGCAGGUUAAUACGCCGCUGUUCUGACGGUACCGAAAGAAUAAGCACCGGCUAACUUCGUG
rnacentral:rRNA from 1 species